GCCUCUGUAGCUCAGUUGGUAGAGCAGCUGACUCUUAAUCAGUUGGUCGAGGGUUCGAAUCCUUCCGGGGGCA
rnacentral:tRNA from 1 species